UACGUAGGGUCCGAGCGUUGUCCGGAAUUUAUUGGGCGUAAAGAGCUCAUAGGCGGUCUGUCGCGUCGGCUGUGAAAUCCCGAGGCUCAACCUCGGGUCUGCAGUCGAUACGGGCAAACUAGAGUAUUGCAGGGGAGACUGGAAUUCCUGGUGUAGCGGUGAAAUGCGCAGAUAUCAGGAGGAACACCGGUGGCGAAGGCGGGUCUCUGGGCAAUAACUGACGCUGAGGAGCGAAAGCGUGGGGAGCGAACAGG
rnacentral:rRNA from 1 species